rnacentral:rRNA from 1 species
AGUGAACGCUGGCGGUAGGCCUAACACAUGCAAGUCGAACGGCAGCACAGUAAGAUCUUGCUCUUACGGGUGGCGAGUGGCGGACGGGUGAGGAAUACAUCGGAAUCUACUUUUUCGUGGGGGAUAACGUAGGGAAACUUACGCUAAUACCGCAUACGACCUACGGGUGAAAGCAGGGGAUCUUCGGACCUUGCGCGACUGAAUGAGCCGAUGUCGGAUUAGGUAGUGGGCGGGGUAAAGGCCCACCAAGGCGACGAUCCGUAGCUGGGCUGAGAGGAUGAUCAGCCACACGGGAACUGAGACACGGUCCAGACUCCUACGGGAGGCAGCAGUGGGGAAUAUUGGACAAUGGGCGCAAGCCUGAUCCAGCCAUACCGCGUGGGUGAAGAAGGCCUUCGGGUUGUAAAGCCCUUUUGUUGGGAAAGAAAAGCAGCAGGUUAAUACCCCGCUGUUCUGACGGUACCCAAAGAAUAAGCACCGGCUAACUUCGUG